rnacentral:rRNA from 1 species
UGGGGAAUUUUGGACAAUGGGCGAAAGCCUGAUCCAGCCAUGCCGCGUGAGUGAAGAAGGCCUUCGGGUUGUAAAGCUCUUUUAGUCGGAAAGAAAGAGUUGCAAUGAAUAAUUGUGAUUUAUGACGGUACCGACAGAAAAAGCACCGGCUAACUACGUGCCAGCAGCCGCGGUAAUACGUAGGGUGCGAGCGUUAAUCGGAAUUACUGGGCGUAAAGGGUGCGCAGGCGGUCUUGCAAGUCAGAUGUUAAAGCCCCGGGCUUAACCUGGGAAUUUCGUUUGAAACUACAAGGCUAGAGUGCAGCAGAGGGGAGUGGAAUUCCAUGUGUAGCAGUGAAAUGCGUAGAGAUGUGGAAGAACACCGAUGGCGAAGGCAGCUCCCUGGGUUGACACUGACGCUCAUGCACGAAAGCGUGGGGAGCAAACA